GGUGGCUCAGUGGUAGAGUGGUUGCCUUGCAUGCAUGAGGUCCUGGGUUCAAUUCUUAGCACCA
rnacentral:tRNA from 1 species